UACGAAGGGUGCAAGCGUUAAUCGGAAUUACUGGGCGUAAAGCGCGCGUAGGUGGUUUGUUAAGUUGGAUGUGAAAGCCCCGGGCUCAACCUGGGAACUGCAUCCAAAACUGGCAAGCUAGAGUAUGGCAGAGGGUGGUGGAAUUUCCUGUGGAGCGGUGAAAGGCGUAGAUAGAGGAAGGAAAACCAGUGGCGAAGGCGACCACCUGGGCUAAUACUGACACUGAGGUGCGACCGCGUGGGGCGCCAACAGGAUUAGAUCCCAGCGUAGUCC
rnacentral:rRNA from 1 species